rnacentral:rRNA from 1 species
CAGUCGCCGCGGGAAUACGUAGGGUGCAAGCGUUAAUCGGAAUUACUGGGCGUAAAGCGUGCGCAGGCGGUUUGUUAAGACAGAUGUGAAAUCCCCGGGCUCAACCUGGGAACUGCAUUUGUGACUGGCAGGCUAGAGUAUGGCAGAGGGGGGUGGAAUUCCGCGUGUAGCAGUGAAAUGCGUAGAUAUGCGGAGGAACACCGAUGGCGAAGGCAGCCCCCUGGGUCAAUACUGACGCUCAUGCACGAAAGCGUGGGGAGCAAACAGGAUUAGAUACCCCCGUAGUCCCUGUCUCUUAUAC